CAUGCAAGUCGAGCGGGCGAGGUUGCUUCGGUAACUGAGCUAGCGGCGGACGGGUGAGUAAUGCUUAGGAAUCUGCCUAUUAGUGGGGGACAACAUUCCGAAAGGGAUGCUAAUACCGCAUACGUCCUACGGGAGAAAGCAGGGGCUCUUUAUGACCUUGCGCUAAUAGAUGAGCCUAAGUCGGAUUAGCUAGUUGGUGGGGUAAAGGCCUACCAAGGCGACGAUCUGUAGCGGGUCUGAGAGGAUGAUCCGCCACACUGGGACUGAGACACGGCCCAGACUCCUACGGGAGGCAGCAGUGGGGAAUAUUGGACAAUGGGGGGAACCCUGAUCCAGCCAUGCCGCGUGUGUGAAGAAGGCCUUUUGGUUGUAAAGCACUUUAAGUGGGGAGGAGGCUUACCUGGUUAAUACCUGGGCUAAGUGGACGUUACCCACAGAAUAAGCACCGGCUAA
rnacentral:rRNA from 1 species